rnacentral:pre_miRNA from 17 species
UUAUCCAAGAACUUGCCAAGGGUUUGGGGGAACAUUCAACCUGUCGGUGAGUUUGGGCAGCUCAGACAAACCAUCGACCGUUGAGUGGACCCCGAGGCCUGGAACUGCCACCCGUCUACCC